UUAAAUUCUUUUAAAUUCUUUUUUCUUUGUUCAUACGAGGAACGGUUACUUGAGCUAAAUCUGUUCAGUCUCAAGCAAAGGAGACUGAGGGGGGACAUGAUCCAGAAUAGAAACCCACAAAUGCAGCUCCCUCCACCAGCAACGCCAACCAGCUUAAGCGCUUCUAUGCUGAGUUUGAUAUGGACAAUAAAGAAACUGCCACAAAAUCCAUGCCCCCUGAUGACCAGCCCCUUAUAAUUCCACCACCGUUGUGGGGUCCGUACUACAAAGAGUCAACGCAAGGUAAGCUGCAAAGUGCAGACAAAUUUACAACCUACCCUACCAGGGGGUUCAUUUGAAGCUGGCACCCGGCGAUAUUUCGCCGCCUGUGGGUAAGUACAUAGCCGGCUACUUUCAGUUGUUGAAAAAAAAAAUCUGCCUCUGUUACCAGAAUCAAACGAUCAGCACUCGGUGCCACAAUAAAAGAUUUAUUUUUCAGAAAUUUCCGUGUUCUGUCUAGGCGCAGCCAUUAAUUCUUAUCUUCGUUUUGAUUGGCUAUUUUUGGCAAGUUUUUAUUCUGCGUUUUCUGAUUGGCUGAUUGAGGCAAGUGGACAAAAUGGCGUCUAGAAAGCGAAGCAGCCUUCUUGACCAGUGGCUGCAACCGAGCGCGAAAUUGCCCAGGACUGAAGGAACUGAAGAUCCCACACAUCUCCAGCCCGCUGUUCCUGGGAAAAGCCACCUGCCAAUUAUCCUUGGAGCAGCAGCCAUUCUCAGGAUCUCCUACAUCACAGAUCACCUAAUAAUCACAGGACCUGUCGACGACUGGAGAAAAGGAGAAACACUGAAGUACAAUGGGCA